CAAAAAGGACCAUGUUAGAAAGUGCAAACAUCAGCCACAGAAAGGAUUGCAGACAAACUGGGAAACGAAACUUGCAAGGCAUGCUGGACAAUCCUGGCGGUAUGAGAAUCUUCAGUACAAAAGUUACAAGUCAGAACUGGGGAAAAUCAUGGAAUACAAAUGAUAAAAAACAACAAAAAAGUUUGUUAGAAAUCUGCAACAACAGAAAAUGCUCAAAAAUUACAGCAGAUCGCAUCCAAAAUACCCAAUGAACCAGUUUCCAUUUUCUCAGGUGCUGAAUGACCUAUUGCGUAUUUUUAGCAAUCUCAUGUACAUUCACUGCAUUUUCUGAGUCAAAUCAAGAAUCAGUUUCCUUUCAUCACUGCAGCUGAAAUGCUGCAACCUCUCAGAGUUAUGAAGUGGAUGAGAUACUAUUCAUCUCCCUCUGGCAAUACAUUCUGCUGUGGCUUUUAAAAAGGAAUAAAAGAAAACCUCUUAUUUACAUUGUACUUUUCUUGAUCCAUGUCCAAAAGUUACAGGCAAUGAAGAUUUUUUUGAGGUAUAGACAAAGAUGCAACAUGGACUCACUGACAGAAGAAGAAAAGGGAGCCUUGAACAUAAAUGUCAUAGAACUGCUAACUGUUACACUCUUUUUGGUUUUAUAUGGUCAUGAGGCAUGGAGACAAAAAGCAACUCAGUAAUCAUAUUGUCUGUUUAAUUUUUGCAAAUGUUGGAUUUCACUGGUACAUAGUCACCCAAUUCUGUCUC